GCAGCGACGCMGCGUGCGGGAUGACGGCCUUCGGGUUGUAAACCGCUUUCAGCAGGGAAGAAGCSCAAGUGACGGUACCUGCAGAAGAAGUACCGGCUAACUACGUGCCAGCAGCCGCGGUAAUACGUAGGGUACGAGCGUUGUCCGGAAUUAUUGGGCGUAAAGAGCUCGUAGGUGGUUGGUCACGUCUGCUGUGGAAACGCAACGCUUAACGUUGCGCGUGCAGUGGGUACGGGCUGACUAGAGUGCAGUAGGGGAGUCUGGAAUUCCUGGUGUAGCGGUGAAAUGCGCAGAUAUCAGGAGGAACACCGGUGGCGAAGGCGGGACUCUGGGCUGUAACUGACACUGAGGAGCGAAAGCAUGGGGAGCGAACAGGAUUAGAUACCCUGGUAGUCCAUGCCGUAAACGUUGGGCACUAGGUGUGGGGGGCAUUCCACGUUCUCCGCGCCGUAGCUAACGCAUUAAGUGCCCCGCCUGGGGGAGUACGG
rnacentral:rRNA from 1 species